CUGAGAGGAUGAUCACCCACACUGGGACUGAGACACGGCCCAGACUCCUACGGGAGGCAGCAGUGGGGAAUAUUGGACAAUGGGCGAAAGCCUGAUCCAGCCAUGCCGCGUGAAUGAUGAAGGCCUUAGGGUUGUAAAAUUCUUUCGCUAGGGAUGAUAAUGACAGUACCUAGUAAAGAAGCCCCGGCUAACUUCGUGCCAGCAGCCGCGGUAAUACGAAGGGGGCUAGCGUUGUUCGGAAUUACUGGGCGUAAAGCGCACGUAGGCGGACUUUUAAGUCAGAUGUGAAAUCCCGGGGCUCAACCUCGGAACUGCAUUUGAAACUGGAAGUCUAGAGACCAGGAGAGGUUAGCGGAAUACCGAGUGUAGAGGUGAAAUUCGU
rnacentral:rRNA from 13 species